rnacentral:rRNA from 1 species
UACGUAGGUCCCGAGCGUUGUCGGGAUUUAUUGGGCGUAAAGCGAGCGCAGGUGGUUUAUUAAGUCUGGUGUAAAAGGCAGUGGCUCAACCAUUGUAUGCAUUGGAAACUGGUAGACUUGAGUGCAGGAGAGGAGAGUGGAAUUCCAUGUGUAGCGGUGAAAUGCGUAGAUAUAUGGAGGAACACCGGUGGCGAAAGCGGCUCUCUGGCCUGUAACUGACACUGAGGCUCGAAAGCGUGGGGAGCAAACAGG